rnacentral:rRNA from 1 species
GACGAACGCUGGCGGCGUGCUUAACACAUGCAAGUCGAACGGUGCACCUCUUCGGAGGGGAUCAGUGGCGAACGGGUGAGUAACACGUGGGCAACCUGCCCCCGGCUCUGGGAUAAAUCCAAGAAAUUGGGGCUAAUACUGGAUGUUCACCGCUUCCCGCGUGGGUGGUGGUGGAAAGGGUUUCCGGCUGGGGAUGGGCCCGCGGCCCAUAAGCUUGUUGGUGGGGUAGGGGCCUACCAAGGCGAGGUCGGGUAGCCGGCCUGGGAGGGUGACCGGCCACACUGGGACUGGGACACGGCCCAGACUCCAACGGUAGGCAGCGGUGGGGAAGAUUGCGCAAGGGGCGGAAGCCUGACGCAACGACGCCGCGUGGGGGAUGACGGCCUUCGGGUUGUAAACCUCUUUCAGCUGAGACGAAGCGAAAGUGACGGUACCUGCAGAAGAAGCACCGGCCAACUACGUG